CCGAGUUCAUGCCCUCGCGGGUAGACCUCCCACCCUUUGUGUACCUACCCUGUUGCUUUGGCGGGCUGCUCACCCCUCGGGGCUGAGCCCCAGCGCCCUCGGGCCUGGGAGCCGCCCGCCGGAGGCUACCAAACCCUCUUUUCAUGUCGUCUGAGUCGCAUGCAAUAUUA
rnacentral:misc_RNA from 1 species